rnacentral:rRNA from 1 species
UACGUAGGGGCCUAGCGUUGUCCGGAAUUAUUGGGCGUAAAGAGCUCGUAGGCGGUUCGGCAAGUCGGAUGUGAAAUCUCCACGCUUAACGUGGAGGGGCCAUUCGAAACUGCUGUGACUCGAGUCCGGUAGGGGAGUGUGGAAUUCCCGGUGUAGCGGUGAAAUGCGCAGAUAUCGGGAGGAACACCAGUGGCGAAGGCGAGUCUCUGGACGACCCCUGACACUGAGGCACGAAAGCUAGGGGAGCAAACAGG